AGCGUACACGGUGGAUGCCCUGGCAGUCAGAGGCGAUGAAGGGCGUGCUAAUCUGCGAUAAGCGCCGGUAAGGUGAUAUGAACCGUUAUAACCGGCGAUACCCGAAUGGGGAAACCCAGUGUGAUUCGUCACACUAUCAUUAACUGAAUCCAUAGGUUAAUGAGGCGAACCGGGGGAACUGAAACAUCUAAGUACCCCGAGGAAAAGAAAUCAACCGAGAUUCCCCCAGUAGCGGCGAGCGAACGGGGAGGAGCCCAGAGCCUGAAUCAGCAUGUGUGUUAGUGGAAGCGUCUGGAAAGGCGCGCGAUACAGGGUGACAGCCCCGUACACAAAAGCGCAUGUGCUGUGAGCUCGAUGAGUAGGGCGGGACACGUGGUAUCCUGUCUGAAUAUGGGGGGACCAUCCUCCAAGGCUAAAUACUCCUGACUGACCGAUAGUGAACCAGUACCGUGAGGGAAAGGCGAAAAGAACCCCGGCGAGGGGAGUGAAAAAGAACCUGAAACCGUGUACGUACAAGCAGUGGGAGCACAGGUUUACCUGUGUGACUGCGUACCUUUUGUAUAAUGGGUCAGCGACUUAUAUUCUGUAGCAAGGUUAACCGAAUAGGGGAGCCGGAGGGAAACCGAGUCUUAAUUGGGCGUUAAGUUGCAGGGUAUAGACCCGAAACCCGGUGAUCUAGCCAUGGGCAGGUUGAAGGUUGGGUAACACUAACUGGAGGACCGAACCGACUAAUGUUGAAAAAUUAGCGGAUGACCUGUGGCUGGGGGUGAAAGGCCAAUCAAACCGGGAGAUAGCUGGUUCUCCCCGAAAGCUAUUUAGGUAGCGCCUCGUGAAUUCAUCUCCGGGGGUAGAGCACUGUUUCGGCUAGGGGGCCAUCCCGGCUUACCAACCCGAUGCAAACUGCGAAUACCGGAGAAUGUUAUCACGGGAGACACACGGCGGGUGCUAACGUCCGUCGUGAAGAGGGAAACAACCCAGACCGCCAGCUAAGGUCCCAAAGUCAUGGUUAAGUGGGAAACGAUGUGGGAAGGCCCAGACAGCCAGGAUGUUGGCUUAGAAGCAGCCAUCAUUUAAAGAAAGCGUAAUAGCUCACUGGUCGAGUCGGCCUGCGCGGAAGAUGUAACGGGGCUAAACCAUGCACCGAAGCUGCGGCAGCGAACGUAUCACUUAAAGCGAUUCAGCGGGUUACGAUUGACGGAGCGAAGCGACGUCAAAGCGUAUACAAAGUCGAGUCGGUUUAAGGAUACGUUCGUUGGGUAGGGGAGCGUUCUGUAAGCCUGUGAAGGUGGCCUGUGAGGGUUGCUGGAGGUAUCAGAAGUGCGAAUGCUGACAUAAGUAACGAUAAAGCGGGUGAAAAGCCCGCUCGCCGGAAGACCAAGGGUUCCUGUCCAACGUUAAUCGGGGCAGGGUGAGUCGACCCCUAAGGCGAGGCCGAAAGGCGUAGUCGAUGGGAAACGGGUUAAUAUUCCCGUACUUGGUGUUACUGCGAAGGGGGGACGGAGAAGGCUAUGUUGGCCGGGCGACGGUUGUCCCGGUUUAAGCGUGUAGGUGUGUGUUCCAGGUAAAUCCGGUUCACUUUAACACUGAGGCGUGACGACGAGGCACUACGGUGCUGAAGCAACAAAUGCCCUGCUUCCAGGAAAAGCCUCUAAGCAUCAGGUAACAUCAAAUCGUACCCCAAACCGACACAGGUGGUCAGGUAGAGAAUACCAAGGCGCUUGAGAGAACUCGGGUGAAGGAACUAGGCAAAAUGGUGCCGUAACUUCGGGAGAAGGCACGCUGACACGUAGGUGAAGUGAUUUACUCAUGGAGCUGAAGUCAGUCGAAGAUACCAGCUGGCUGCAACUGUUUAUUAAAAACACAGCACUGUGCAAACACGAAAGUGGACGUAUACGGUGUGACGCCUGCCCGGUGCCGGAAGGUUAAUUGAUGGGGUCAGCGCAAGCGAAGCUCCUGAUCGAAGCCCCGGUAAACGGCGGCCGUAACUAUAACGGUCCUAAGGUAGCGAAAUUCCUUGUCGGGUAAGUUCCGACCUGCACGAAUGGCGUAAUGAUGGCCAGGCUGUCUCCACCCGAGACUCAGUGAAAUUGAACUCGCUGUGAAGAUGCAGUGUACCCGCGGCAAGACGGAAAGACCCCGUGAACCUUUACUAUAGCUUGACACUGAACAUUGAGCCUUGAUGUGUAGGAUAGGUGGGAGGCUUUGAAGCGUGGACGCCAGUCUGCGUGGAGCCAACCUUGAAAUACCACCCUUUAAUGUUUGAUGUUCUAACGUGGACCCGUAAUCCGGGUUGCGGACAGUGUCUGGUGGGUAGUUUGACUGGGGCGGUCUCCUCCUAAAGAGUAACGGAGGAGCACGAAGGUUGGCUAAUCCUGGUCGGACAUCAGGAGGUUAGUGCAAUGGCAUAAGCCAGCUUGACUGCGAGCGUGACGGCGCGAGCAGGUGCGAAAGCAGGUCAUAGUGAUCCGGUGGUUCUGAAUGGAAGGGCCAUCGCUCAACGGAUAAAAGGUACUCCGGGGAUAACAGGCUGAUACCGCCCAAGAGUUCAUAUCGACGGCGGUGUUUGGCACCUCGAUGUCGGCUCAUCACAUCCUGGGGCUGAAGUAGGUCCCAAGGGUAUGGCUGUUCGCCAUUUAAAGUGGUACGCGAGCUGGGUUUAGAACGUCGUGAGACAGUUCGGUCCCUAUCUGCCGUGGGCGCUGGAGAACUGAGGGGGGCUGCUCCUAGUACGAGAGGACCGGAGUGGACGCAUCACUGGUGUUCGGGUUGUCAUGCCAAUGGCACUGCCCGGUAGCUAAAUGCGGAAGAGAUAAGUGCUGAAAGCAUCUAAGCACGAAACUUGCCCCGAGAUGAGUUCU
rnacentral:rRNA from 1 species